CCGUCAUUGCGAUGCAAAAAUAAACCUUCUAGGUUUUUAAAACCUAGAAGGUUUCAUCAUAAAGGCGAUAGAUA
rnacentral:sRNA from 1 species